AGGGGAGAUUGGGAAGGGAGACAACAUUUAAGAUGUAAAUAAAUAAAAUAGCCAAUUAAAAAUAAAUAGGAUGUAUAAUACCUAAUACCUUGAUGAUCUCUUUUAAUCUUAAAAAAUUAAAUAAAUUAGAAAUAGAAGUUUAGGGAUGGCUUAGUCAAUAAGAGCCCUUGUUUUGUGAGCAUGGGAGCCUGAGUUCAAAUCCUCAUCACUUACGUGAAAGCUGGGCGCACCUGUGGAUGUCUAAAACUCCAGUACUGGGAGGGAAAAAGCAAGAAGAGAGAUCUUAGGAGCUCACUGGCCGGCCAGCCCGGAUGAAAUGAAGAGCUUUUGGUUCUGUGAGAAACCCUGUUUCGAGGGAAUAAGGCUGAGCGUGACAGAGGAACAUAGCCAACAUCUUGCUCUGGUUUUUACAUGGGCACACACGGGCACAUGAACCCACCCGCUCACUUGCACAUCACACACACACACGCGCGCGCAAUUUCGACUUAAUAAAACUUUCACUCUGCAGUGAGUUCAUUGCUGAGUAAACCCGUCAUAAGUCAAGAAGCAUCCGUAUGCAAGUAAAAGCCUCAGAGGCAGGGGAAUGGAACAAAGAAGGAGCAGUGUGCUUGGCUACAGGCUCAGCAGCUACAAGGAUUCCAGGAAGAACAUCACAGCUGCCAAGGUUGUUCCAAGAAGGGUCCGUACAAGAUCUGACGCAUGCGCAGAGGGAGCAUCACUUGACUGGGCUGUCGAGCAUGCAAAGUAAGGAAGACCACACAUGCAGUGGGAUGUCUCUAAGGACACAGCUGGAGUACUGCCAUCUGCACAGAAGAUACUCCUAGGGAAUGGGAACAAAAACCUUCACUUCCUGGGAGCAGGAUCGAGUCCCCAGCAAUCGCAUCAGAAAGAGUUUGAAAGGAAGAUGGCAUGGUCAGCACUCUCCAGGGCUAGGGAAGAGAUUCGGAAGAUGCGGUUGAUACAGUCAGUGCUCCGAGCUGUGUGACAAGAAGGCUUGUGCCUGGAGAGGAAAUGCACUCUUCUGACCCUGCAACUUUCCGGACCCCAGGCUAAUCUUCCAGGGGGUCGGGAACACCUGUCCCUGUGUAUCAGGAAGCUCUUCCAGGGAUCUAAUGUCUACUUUCCAGGCACAGGCUCAGCGGACCAUCAGGGCUGGGUGCAGGAAAAUGGCUUUCCCAGCCCACUUACUCCGAGAGUUGGCCUCCCACCGUGAUUCGCUCUAAGCUGGGAGGUCCGCUCCGCCCGCAGACGAGAGUGGGGGAUGGGGGAUAGGGGGGAGCAUAGCUAAAGGCUUCCUGGGAACAGGCUUCCUGCUUUCACCUGUUGUUCUCCGCUUCGCCCCCCCCCCCUCAAGCCCCCAACAGCUGUAGAAGA